AUUGAAAAAAUAACAGAAGCUCAAUAUGCGUUGUUCAUACCAUACAGAAUCUUUGUGUGUGGUAGGAGGCAAGUUCUGGCGGAGAAUUUGUAAACAAAAGUUCGUACAAUGCGAAUGCAAAACUUGUAAUAAAAAGAUACAUGAAUUGAUACUUUUUAAGUAAAUAAAUAUAAAGCGGUACCUAAAACAGGAAACAUGGAUUAAGAAAAUUGAGUAGAAGUUAUAUGAUACAGAUUAGCGUAAGCAGCGUUUUCAAACAAAAUAUAUGCAUUUUUUAUUUUUCUGAGCUAGAAUUUGAUGUUCGUUGAUAAAUAAAAUAAGUUUUAUGGAAGUUAAUACGAAAACUGAUUGUAAAUCCCAUUGCUGGUAUAUUGUUAGCAAAAAA